rnacentral:lncRNA from 1 species
CAAUACCUCCACCUCGGGAACUUGAAGAUCAAGAGAAGACACCACCCCAGGAGAAAUAACCAGAUAGAUCCAGGAUGUCUCUGCAACUGUUGAGCUGGAAUAUUAAUGGUUGCAAUAUCCCGGAGAAAAGGAAGAAAAUUUUUCAUAUAUUAAAAAAAGAACAAUUGGACAUUAUUUGCUUACAAGAAACACAUGUGACGAGGCUCCACAGAAAAGUGUUAACAAAUAAAAGAUUGGGCCAGGAAUUUAUUUCGUCGGAUAAAGUGAAGAAGAGAGGAGUGGUGAUAUAUGCCAAAGAGAGCCUGUCACCUAAAUUUCUAUUUAAAGAUGAACAUGGAAGGAUUUUGGCUAUUGAGAUACAAUAUCAAGGAGAGAAAUUGCUGAUAUUAGGAAUCUAUGCGCCUAAUGAAGGGAAAUCGGAAUUUUACAAGAAGUUGCAGGGGACAAUGCUGGAUCAUCUGGAUUACAACAACAUCAUAAUGAUGGGAGACAUGAACGGGGUCGUGUCAACUAACAUGGACAAGUCGCAAAGUCAAAACAUCACAAAAGAUGGCAGACUACCUAAAACCUUUUUGAAAUGACUGACAAUAUGGACUUGAUCGACAUUUGGAGAACAAAAACCCACUAGGUAGAGAAGGAACAUUCUUUUCUGAAGCCCAACUGACCUGGACAAGAAUCGACCAAAUAUGGAUCUCUAGAGGCCUGGCACCUAGGGUUAGAAAAGUGGAAAUCUGCCCAAAGACCUGUUCUGACCACAACGCAGUAAAGAUGGACAUGACACUACUACCAACUGGAUCCUUUAGAUGGAAGAUGAAUGACAAUUUGUUUAGAGAUCAGGAAAUUACCAAGAAGGCCCAAAAAGUUUUGAAAGAUUAUUUUGAGAUAAAUAUGAACAAUUCGGUGGAAAAAAGAAUCGUCUGGGACGCAAGCAAAGCUGUCAUGAGGGGUUUUCUGAUACAACAGAAUGUAGUAAAGAAAAAAACACAAAAUGAGAAAAAAGACAAGAUUUUGGAUAAAAUAAAAGACUUGGAGAAGAAAUUAAGAGUGAAUCCAAAGUCACAGCCAACUCUGAGAGAAAUUAAACUUUAUCAAACACAGUAUUCUAAAUUGAUAAAUCAGGAAAUUGAAUGGAAGAUCAAAUUAAUGAAACAAAAACGUUUGAGUCGGCGAAUAAAUGUGGAAAACUGCUAUCUUGGCAGUUGAAGAGAAGACAAAGAUUAAACACGGUUACAAAUUUAGAGGUUGAUGGAAGAAACAUUCAGAAUCCAGUGGACAUUAGAAAGUGUUUCCAGAGAUAUUUUAAAAAGUUAUAUACCCAAGGGCCGCAAGACGAAGUUGAGAUUAAACAAUUUUUGGCAAAAAAUGGAUUAUCUAAACUGUCACAAGAAAAUAGGACAAUCCUGAACUCUAAAAUAACACGACAGGAGAUUGAACAAGCUAUUCAGAACAUGCAACUUGGCAAAUCUCCAGGGCCAGACGGGCUGACCUCCAAGUAUUACAAGACACUAAAAGACUAUUUGAUACAACCUUUGAUGGAGGUUAGCAAUGAAAUUAUGGAGGGGAAGAGGGCACCGGAUUCGUGGAAGGAAGCGUUUAUCACAUUGAUACCAAAGUUAGAAACUGAAAAGACACAACUGAAGAACUACCGUCCCAUCUCCCUUUUAAAUGUGGAUUACAAAAUAUUUGCAGAUAUUUUGGCAAGUAGAUUUAAAAAAAGUUUUAAAUGAAGUAAUUCAUAAGGACCAGGCCGGUUUUCUCCCAGGUAGACAUUUGUUUGCUAACACAAGGAACAUUAUUGAUAUUUUGGAACUUCUCCAAACUGACAUAAAUACAAAAGCUGUUUUAAUUUUUAUAGAUGCGGAGAAGGCCUUUGAUAACAUUUCUUGGAAAUUUAUGAUGGGAAACUUAAAAGAGAUGGGAGUGGGACGGGGUUUUGAGAAUGGGAUUGAGGCGAUAUAUUCAGAACAGAAAGCAAAACUGAUAGUUAAUAAUGUGGUUACAGAAGAGUUCAAAAUUGAAAAAGGGACACGACAAGGUUGCCCUAUUUCCCCUUUGUUAUUUAUCUCGGUCCUGGAGGUGCUAUUGAACAUGAUCAGAGGGGACCAGCUGGUGGAAGGAAUUCAGGUUGGUCAGAAACAAUAUAAAUUAAAAGCUUUUGCAGAUGACCUGGUUUUGACCUUGCAGAAGCCAGAGCCUAGUACGAAAAGAGUAUUACAAUUGAUUAAUGACUUUGGUCGGGUGGCGGGAUUUAAAUUAAACAAACAGAAAACUAAGGUUUUGGGGAAAAAUCUGACUGAGACAGAGUCAGAACGGUUUCAGAAUGAGACGGAACUUAAUGUGGUUAAAAAGUAAAAUACCUAGGGGUAAACAUAACAGCAAAAAUCUAAGUCUAUUUAAGGAUAAUUAUGAAAAAUGUUGGACAGAAAUUAAGAGAGACUUAGACAGUUGGUCAAAAUUGAAACUUUCUUUGUUAGGCCGAAUUGCUGCGAUUAAGAUGAAUGUAUUGCCAAGAAUGUUGUUUUUAUUUCAAACACUGCAGGUAUUGGACAAAAUGGGGUGCUUUCAGAAGUGGCAGAGAGAUAUUUCGAAGUUUGUCUGGCAGGGCAAAAAGCCCAGAAUUAAGUUUAAGAUACUAACCGAUGCAAAACAAAGAGGGGCUUUGCCCUGCCGGACUUAAAGUUGUACUAUGAAGCCGCAGCGUUCUGCUGGCUAAAAGACUGGCUACUUCUUGAAGACACUGAUGUGUUAGAUUUGGAGGGGUUUAACAAUGUUUUUGGAUGGCAUGCAUAUUUAUGGUAUGACAAAGUUAAAGCAAAUAAGGCCUUUAAGAACCAUAUUGUUAGAAAAUCACUGUUUAAUGUCUGGACAAAAUAUAAAGACUUGCUGGAAAAUAAAACACCAAGGUGGCUUUCACCUUUGGAAGCUAAGGCCCGAAAAAGACCCAAUAUGGAGGCCAAAUGGCCAAAAUAUUGGGAAAUACUAGAAAAGAUGGAGACAAUUGGAAAUUGCAGAGCUUGGAGAAAAUGAAAGACAAAGUGCGAGAUUGGUUACACUAUGCUCAGAUUAAAGAAGUUUUUAAAAGUGAUAAGAAACUAGGGUUCCAGGUGGAGAAAUCGAAAUUAGAAACAGAAUUGUUAGAACCAAAGACUAAGAUACUUUCAAGGAUGUAUAACUUGCUGUUGGAAUGGAAUACACAAGAUGAAAUGGUUAAAUCGGCUAUGAUAAGGUGGGCACAGGACAUUGGGUACAAUAUUAUGUUUGAGGACUGGGAAAGGCUGUGGAGUAAUGGAUUGAAAUUUACUGCAUGUAAUGCUUUGAAAGAAAAUGUAAUGAAAAUGAUUUAUAGAUGGUAUAUGACCCCAGUCAAACUCGCAAAAAUUUACCACCUGUCUGAUAACAAGUGCUGGAAAUGCAAAGAGUGUGAAGGAACGUUCUUUCACCUCUGGUGGACAUGCCCUAAAGUGAAGGCGUUCUGGGAAAUGAUUUACAAUGAAUUGAAAAAGGUAUUUAAAUAUACUUUCACUAAGAAACCAGAGGCUUUCCUUUUGGGUAUUGUCAGCCAAGGGGUGGCAAAGAAGGACCAGACAUUUUUUAUGUACGCAACAACAGCAGCAAGGAUACUACUUGCAAAACAUUGGAAAACCCAAGAUCUACCCACACUGGAAGAAUGGCAGAUGCAACUGAUAGACUAUAUGCAACUGGCUGAAAUGACUGGCAGAAUCCGUGACCUGGGAGAAGAGAGAAUCGAGGAGGAUUGGAAGAAAUUUAAGAACUACCUACAAAAACAUUGUGAUUUGAUUGAAUGCUGAAUAAGAUGCUGGACUAAAUAACUGAGCACCACUUAACUUAGAAAUUUUUAAGGAAACAAGAAAAAUUGUGAAAGUUUAACUCUUUAUGAGAACUUUAAGAUUAUGAAAUAUCGAAGAGAUAUAAGAAUUUAAAUAAGAUGAUAAAUUGCUGACAAAAUGUUAUAAUGAUGAAGGUGGGAGCGGGAGAUGUGAGGAAGUCCUAAGAAAAUGUGAAAAUAUGUUAAGACGAAUGCUAUAUUGUUUAUUACAUUUAUUCCUAUUGUAAAACCUAAUAAAUUGCUUUAAAAAAAAAAAAAGAUUCCUUGGGUGUGAUGUCUUACUGAUUUAUGCAGGAAAAUGUGUGCUCUUGUUUUAUCAGUGAAUACAUGGACAUUGGUAUCGUGGUAAGGGCACAUGAAUGAGCUGAAGAAAUGGAAAGCUUCAGGAACCUAUGAGUGCACAAUGUGGAGUGUGCAUUAUACCAAAAAAUUAAGGAAAUUGUAAAUCAAACAAUGUGUAGUCCAGGAUGCAAAUAGACUCAUUGAGCAGGUUUGGUUUGGUUUUGUUAUGAAUAAAUCCAUCCUGAACUAGGGGAGAACUAAGGGAAAACAAAGCAGAUUAGCUGAGCCACCGCUGAUUACUUUUAACAGAAUGUUUCCUAUUCAGAAACCAGCUCUUAUUGUUUAAAUAGAAGCUAUUAUGUCAGGAAUCUAAAAGCCUGUUUUCUGGAAAUGUUGCCCUGUAGGCAAUCCAGUGUUCCUGGUGGGGUGGUGCACCAAAUGACUCCAUCCUGGCAUUGGCUAUGAAUGAACAUGGGAAAAGACUCUAAAGUUGAUAUGAAUGCUACCAUUAAUAUGAAGAACUUAUAUGACUAUAAUAGUGAUAUUUUCGCACAAACUCCAUUAUGAUCUUGAAUGAAAGAGUACACACACCCUUGAAUUUUUGGUGUGUUCCUCAUCUCUUUUCUAAAGAGAUUGCUUUCACGAAACCAACUUCAAAAUUAUGCUUGGUUUUUUCAUAUUGAUAUAGACAGCUAGACAUCAUUUUGUAUUGCAAGAUGCAAUUCCAUUACAGAAUUUAAAGUUGCAUUGUGUUACAUAACACUUUUAUAGCUUGCAGUCUGAUUUCUUACAAUAUAUCUUUGCCUUCCAUAGUAAAAGGAAACACAAGGGAGCAGAAAUGCCUGCUUGUCUUCUCAACAUAAAAUUCAGAUGACUAGACAUACAUAAAUUAUUACAAUAAAUUAAUACAAAAAUUAUUUUAGUCCUAGAUUUAAAUCUCUCCUAAAACAAUAUCCUUCCCACAAUACAAACUAUGACUAAAGUUUUCUUAGUGCUUUUCUUUUAUUCAACGUGUUAUAUCUGGCUUUAUUUAACAAUAUGUCUUGUUAUUGAUUAUUCUGCAAGACUUGGUAAUAAGCAGCUGAAACGCCAAAGUAGCUUACUGGAUAUAGUGAUGGAAUUCCCCUAUGUGUAUUCUGGAAUGACUGACAGCACAAUCCUAUGCAUGUAUACUCAGAAAUAAGCCCCACUGAGAGCACUAGGGUUUACUUCUAAGUAAGUGUACAUAUAGGAUUGCAGCCUAAGAAGCAGGUAUCUUCGAAACCAGAGGCUUUCCUUUUGGGUAUUGUCAGCCAAGGGGUGGCAAAGAAGGACCAGACAUUUUUUAUGUAUGCAACAACAGCAGCAAGGAUACUACUCGCAAAACAUUGGAAAACCCAAGAUCUACCCACACUGGAAGAAUGGCAGAUGCAACUGAUAGACUAUAUGCAACUGGCUGAAAUGACUGGCAGAAUCCGUGACCUGGGAGAAGAGAGAAUUGAGGAGGAUUGGAAGAAAUUUAAGAACUACCUACAAAAACAUUGUGAUUUGAUUGAAUGCUGAAUAAGAUGCUGGACUAAAUAACUGAGCACCACUUAACUUAGAAAUUUUUAAGGAAACAAGAAAAAUUGUGAAAGUUUAACUCUUUAUGAGAACUUUAAGAUUAUGAAAUAUCGAAGAGAUAUAAGAAUUUAAAUAAGAUGAUAAAUUGCUGACAAAAUGUUAUAAUGAUGAAGGUGGGAGCGGGAGAUGUGAGGAAGUCCAAAGAAAAUGUGAAAAUAUGUUAAGACGAAUGCUAUAUUGUUUAUUACAUUUAUUCCUAUUGUAAAACCCAAUAAAUUGCUU